GCGAAAGAGGCAGAUUUUCUCCGUCUUCAAGUCUUCGAUCUGAAACCUCUCGUCUCCAAUGCAGAUGCAGGGUUUACAAGUAAAGAAUGGGCAAAAUCACAAAAUAUGAAGAAUCCCAGAUUUGGCUCAUUCAAUUCAUAUGCCCUCACUUUGCUUGUGGUCUUCCACUUUUAGGUGAUUCAAAAUUUUUAUUUCUGGUGUUAACAAGAAAGUAGUCAGCAGACAUGUACACCUGCAGUAUUGCCACCACUUAAAUAAAUAUAUCCAGGGAAUCUCACCAAUGAUCUUCAAGAUCAUAUUUUGAAGCAUAUUCCUUCCCCGGACACCACUCAUGUCUCUACAUAUAUAAGAUCCAUUUGAAAGUAAUUUAGUUGCCAACAGCUUAAGCAUUGGAGCUUCAAAUGACAGAAAAGAUAAGUGAAAUCAAUGGUUUGUGCGUGAAGGAGAAUUGGUGUAUGUCCACAAUAGCUACAAUUUAGGGAUUAGCUUAUUUGUUAGUAGACAAGCCAACAAGGUUAGAGAGUUUGAGGGUUUGAUGCUAAUUAGGUUGUGUUUGUAUCAAGGAUCUGAUAUUUAUAUUUGAUGAGUUGAACGAGAAUUUCGCUGUUAUGUACAUUAUACGAAA